rnacentral:rRNA from 1 species
GUAGGGAGCAAGCGUUGUUCGGAAUCACUGGGCGUAAAGAGCGCGUAGGUGGCUUGGUAAGUCUGUUGUGAAAGCCCACAGCUCAACUGUGGAACUGCGACAGAAACUGCCUGGCUAGAGUGCGGGAGAGGAAAGUGGAAUUCCCAGUGUAGAGGUGAAAUUCGUAGAUACUGGGAGGAACACCGGUGGCGAAGGCGGCUUUCUGGACCGCAACUGACGCUGAGGCGCGAAAGCUAGGGGAGCGAACGGGGGAUUAGAUACCCCGGUAGUCCUAGCCGUAAACGAUGGGCACUAGGUGUAGGGGGUAUCGACCCCUUCUGUGCCCGUAGCUAACGCAUUAAGUGCCCCGCCUGGGGGAGUACGGUCGCAAGACUA